GACGAACGCUGGCGGCGUGCUUAACACAUGCAAGUCGAGCGAUGAAGCCCCUUCGGGGGUGGAUUAGCGGCGGACGGGUGAGUAACACGUGGGUAACCUGCCUCAAAGAGGGGGAUAGCCUCCCGAAAGGGAGAUUAAUACCGCAUAAAGCAGAAUUCCACAUGGAGUUUUGAUGAAAGGAGUAAUCCGCUUGGAGAUGGACCCGCGGCGCAUUAGCUAGUUGGUGGGGUAACGGCCGACCAAGGCAACGAUGCGUAGCCGACCUGAGAGGGUGAGCGGCCACAUUGGAACUGAGAGACGGUCCAGACUCCUACGGGAGGCAGCAGUGGGGAAUAUUGCACAAUGGGCGAAAGCCUGAUGCAGCAACGCCGCGUGAGUGAUGAAGGUCUUCGGAUUGUAAAGCUCUGUCUUCUGGGAAGACAAUGACGGUACCAGAGGAGGAAGCCACGGCUAACUACGUGCCAGCCGCCGCGGUAA
rnacentral:rRNA from 1 species